rnacentral:lncRNA from 1 species
UCAUCUUCUUUUUGGAUAAAGAAUUCCCAUACUUUUGCUCUAUGAGCAAUUGAUUACCUUGGUUUUUGUGGAAGAGCAGAGCUUGGUCUUUCAGUUUCUUUUCUUCUCUUUCCAGCAAGAGAAGGUUCCGGAGCUUCUUCUCCUUGAAUCUCAUUGUCAAGCAUCGUUCUGAUCAUAAGAAGAAGUUAAAUCCAUCUGCAAAAAAGAAAAACAUUCACAAUCAGUUAUUUAUAAACACUGCAAAACUUUUGUCUUUUAUCUAUAAAGAGUCUUUGUGUAGGACAAACAUGCGAGAGUCAAAAAUUUAUACAAACUUUUGGAAGUAUUGACGACAGGAUAAUAUAACCACUGAUUUUGAUUGGAGAUCUGGUCUUCACUCCAAAUUUCAGUCCAAAGUCUCUAAGUCGUAAAUUAGUUGUCUUGAGAAAUUGAUCUCGCAAGCUAUUGUUUUACAUCAAAAACAAAUACAUAGACUCUUCGUACGGUUUGUCAUAUAGUAGAUUAUGUUCAAAGGUUUGUUUAUACUGACCUGCUUGUGUGUCGUGAAUCUCAGGCUCCGUCUCCUUUCACUCUGACUCUACAAUCCUGGAUCUCGCUCUUUCUUCUCCAGCUGAUCUCUCACCGUACCACCUCCUUAUGCACCUAUCGAAGACUAAUCUAUGACACAUAGGAACAAAACAAAUAAAAAUGCAUCAGCUAACAGAAAUAAAUGGAAAACCGAAUGAAAAAGGAGGAGGUUUAAGCAAUCAAUACCUAAAAAUAUGUCUAUGUUUUGUAUAUCCAUUUGAAGUAGGGAUGGUGGCUGAUGAUCUUCAAGCUUCCCUGCUAAACAUAAUAAGGAACUACAUAUACAUGAUAUGAAACUUUAAAAGAAGAAUUUGAAAAUAAUAUUUCCUCAAGUUUCGAUAUGAAACUGUCCCCUCGAACACUCGGAAUAUUUCUAUUAGUUCAUCCUAUGCUGAUUCCUAAACCAAAUUUCAUUUGGAGUUUUAUUAUCUGAGCUCGUUGAUUAAUCUUCACUGUAACUAAAAGGUUUUAGUGUAUACAUACUAUACCUGAGAGGUGUUUUGGGCCAUUAUAUAAAUGUCUCCAUUGCCAUCAAACGUAGAUGACGAUCAUCAUCUCCCAAAGUUCUGCAUUUCAAUUCUUCCACAUCGAUUUCAUCACUUUCUUUGGUUUCUCACGAACAGCAUAUAUAAAUAUCAGCUAAUCCAUCUUAUCAUCAGUUCCAUGGUCUGUUCGUAUAGAAGGUUGUAUUUUGAGUAAGACCAAAGUAAACAACGACAUACCCUCUGAGUCUUUGUCGAGGAGACAGAAAGCUUCGUAAAACUCUUGGUCUGCUCAUCGGUGAAAGCAACAGCUAUAGGUGAAAGCUUUCCGCCAUCUUCGAUCACAAACAGAAAAAGAGAGUUGCUGAGUUAGCCAUAUCACAGAAAAUAGAUGAAAGACACCAUCGCCGCCGGGUUUUAACAGGUAUCGCCGGAAACAAUGGCUUCACGUAUUAUAGAUGGAGAUUUCGACGCCGGUUAGAUGAACGGUCUAAGCAUUCGCUGGAAAAAAAAAGAAAAGAAAAAAAGCAAUCUUCGGCGACGCUAAGAGAAUAGGAAACGGAAGUGUUUCUGAAAAAGGUAGUCCAGCAAGUAACAAUAUCACAAAGCCCAUAUGAAUUAAAGCUCUGCGUUUUGGGAGAAACGGGACACGUGUCGGCUCCAGGGAGCUUGAAUUGAUGACGUGGCAUCCGAGCUGGACCCUCUGGGAGUGAUUCAAAGUCUUCUUUAUAUAUAAAGAUAUAUAUAUAUAUAUAUAUAUAUAUGUAUGUAUUUUCCAAUCCACCAUAUUUGAUUUAAAUUAUUCACUAUUUACUUAAUUGGUUCGACACAACAAAAUUUGUUCACAUUCAGGGAUAACUAUUAGAAGGUCGGCUCACCGGAAACAUUCAACCGAAUGAUUCAAAAAACUUAACCGAAGGAGAUAUAUAUGAGUUUUCAGGAUUUUCUGUCAUACAUAAUUCACGACAUCGGAAACUUACCCAACUGCCGUAUUACAUUCAGAUCGACCAAAAGACAAUAACAUUGAACGUUACAGUCAACGGUCCGAUAUUUCCAGUUCACAAUUUAUCUCCUCAAAAUUACAGAAAUCUAUUGCGGUUAGCCACUACACCCACAUACUUACCAGGUAAGUAAGUCAUUCCAGUAUUAAUUAAACAAACAUGGAUGUUUAUUCUAAAAUCAAUGUGCAGAUGUCGUCGGGCAGAUAGUCAUAAUACAAAAAAUAAAACCGUACCAUCCAGAACUCAAUAUUGAUGCCACGAUUGGUCUAUGGCUGAACAGGUAAGUCUAACACAAUAGUUAAAAACGAAAUAAUAAUUAUCUUCAUACAUACAUCUCUAUCUCAGGUCGACAAUUGUUAAACUCAUACUGUGCGACAAGCAAGCAGCAAAUUUUAGCAUCCUACAAAGCAAGAAGGAUAGGAAAUUUAAAGUUGUCAUCAUCACAAGCAUAAUUCCUAAACUUUUCCAAGGUAAAUAAUUUUGUUAAACACAUCAAAACAUAAUACAUAUCUAUUUUUUUUUAUCAACAGAACAAUAAUAUUCAAUAUUUUCCAUGCAAACUACUACUCAGUUCAUCACCAGCAACAAAAUUUCUACUUCAACAAAUCAAUUGAUUACAUAAAGCAUUUCAAAAGGCAAAUAAGAGAUCAUGCAAAACCAUGCAGCAAAGAGUGAUUCUAAUUCAUUCAUCAUUCGGAUUGUUAUUCUCUUUCUCACAAGACUUGAUACCUAGAUUUAUUUACAUUUUAAACUAUUUUAUCAUUGUUUUCUUUAGAUUUCUACUUCUAUAUAAAAUCUAAAACUCAACUUCUGUCUUUCAAUCUUUGCUAAGCAAUUUAAAUAUAUAGAAAAUAAAUUAAAAAACAUAAGUGAUGUCUACGUGUUAGUGAGCAAGAAAGCAUGAUUAGAGUGAAUAAGAAGUCUACUAUAAAGAUGAAGGUUAUUAAGAGAAAAAAUUGUGUAGAGUUUGUGAAUUUUCAAAAUUUACUUGGAUAAGAAAAUAUAUAUACACUGACUUACAAAAUUUGAUCAAACUUUUGUAAAUUGCUACUUCUUGAAUAUUUUUCGAAUUAUUUCGAAUUUGUUUCUCUAUAUUUUUCAAAUUGAAACUAUUUUUAUUUUAAAUUUGAAAAGAAUUUCGAUUUUUUAUAACAUAUAAUUUGAAAGCUAUAUUAAACUUAAAAUAUAUAAUUUCAAUUUUCAGUUUUCCACUAUUACACGUAAAAAUAUGAUUACGUACGCUUUUUUUUAAAAGAAGGUUUUAUAUUUUAAAUAGGUUAUUGGAGUACUUUUUAUUUUCGUAAAUUUAUUCGAGAUGAGAUUCCGAUCUUUUAAAAUAAGAGACUUUAUGUUCUAUACAUAAUUAUAUUGUUUUAGAUUUCUUCAUAUUUUAAUAGUUAAUUGUGUUACAUAUAAUAUAAAUACUUAUUUCAAACUAAAAUAUUUAAAAAACAAAUUUUAAAAUUAGUUAAGUUAAGUUAAAAAUGAUAAAUGUAACAAAUUUAAUAUAUUAUCCGGAUCUAGUAUAUUUAAGAUGAAAGGAGAGCAUAACAUACUUAAUACAAUUUAUUUAUUUAUUAAUAUACAUAUAAAUUACAAGAUGGCUUAAAAUUAUAAACAAAAAUAAAUAUUUACCUAUUAGUUUUAUAAAAUAUUUGUAUCAUGAGUAAUCACCUAGUUCAUAAUAAUGGGAAGUUGAAUGAUUACAAAUGUGUUAAAAGUUUUUUUUUUUUUAUCAAACAAAUGUGUUAAAGUUAACGUCGUUGAAUCUUCCAUGAAUCUUCCUCUCAACUUUGUGUCUUCUUAUUUACUUACUUGUCUUUGGACUCUUUUAUGUGGUUCUGUGUCAUCGUUGAAUAUUCCUCUCCACUCGCCUCUUCUUAUCUAUUUACUCGUCUUUGGAUUCUUUUGUGUUGUUUUGCUUCAUUGUUGUUAUUUUUCUCUUUGCUCGAAAUCAUUAUUGUGUUCCUGUUCUUCAGUUUCUUGAGUUUUCUCUCUAAUUCAUGGCUUCUUCUUCUUCUUCUUCUUCUCUCACGUGGACGCAUGAUGUCUUCCCGAGAGACUUUGCAUAAGUAAUGUUUUAUCUAUCUCAAAAUUUGACAGCUCCAGAUAUGUUGGUUUACCGUUCACGACGAUCCAUAGAUUUCAUGCAUUCUUCAUGUUCUCCUGUGCAUAGAAAAAUUAUGGCAUAGAGAUAGUUACUGAGAUAAUUACCUUUACCACAAUGGUUGUUUGCCAAUAUGCAAAGAUGUUUCAGCCUUGUUGAGGGUUUUUUUCAUUGCCAAAAUGUUUUGUUUUUCUAAUAUUAAUUCUUGUACAGAAAAAACAAUUUUUUUGCAUUAAUUUUAAAUUAAAAAAUUAUAAUGAUUAAUUUAUUUUCAAUUAAAAUAUUUCUCUAUUUUCAUUUCAUUUUCUUAUUUAUAUUAAUAUUUACUCAAAAUAUAGUUGUUUCAUCAUUAAAAUUUAUAAAAAUGUGAUUGUUUUAAUUUUGUUCCCAAUAUUUGUUCUAUUUUAACUUUGUUAUUAAGUAAAAUAGUUUUAAAAAUGUACUCGAUUAUGUUCAACACAUAAAACAUGAAUUAAAUUUUGAUGUUAAUUUUCUGAAUUUGGCGACACUUUUUUCUUUUAUACAUUUUCUUUAAAUUACUAAGUCAUACAAUGCGAAAAUAGGUUAUUUAUUAUAAUAAAAUUACUUUAAAUAGGUAGGUACAGGAAAACCUAUACAAAUUAUAAUUUUUUAUAAAUAUAUAUAUGUUUAAAUUUUAAAUGUUAUUAUUUUUAAAAUAAAAUAAAUCAUGUUUUCUGAAUUAAUAAUUACGGUUUCAAAGUAAAUGAUGCUGAUUAAUUUUAAAAUUUGAUUUUACAUUGAAUUUAUUAUAACCAAUUUAUGUUAUUUUUUUAAUUGGAUAUAUCUUAUUAGUAAAUAAAUAUUUUAUUUGUAAGAUAUUAUAAUUUUUUAAAAUUAAUUACUUUAUAUAUAAAAUAUUCAAAAUUACUAUACAUUUAUAGUGAAUGACAUUUAGCCAUCAAAUUUAUAUCAUUUAAAUAGAAGUUCUAAAUUUAUUACAAAUAUAUUAAUAUAACUAAAUUUAUUAAUUACAUUAGUUUAAAUAAAUUAUAAUGUAUUUUUGGCGAUGUAAAAUGUUAAAUGAUUUUUGUAUCUCUUUUUUAUUAUUCACAUGUAAGUAAAUUAUAGAAAACGGUAAUAACAUUUUAUAGGGGAAAUUUCAUGUUUACCACUUUCAUGGUACCUCUUUUCAUUUUUACAUCCACUAAAGGGACAUUUUCAAAAAUACAUUCUUCAAUAAGUGGCAAAAGACUCUUAUACUUUUGUUCUCUAUAUAUAUAAUAAAUCAUUAUUUAAAUAAAUAAAAACAAAUAAAAAAAUCUAUUUUGUUCAUGUUUUCGAAUUAUACUUGUUCAAAUUCGAAUUUUUUUAUAAUUUUUUUUUGAAUUUUUUUUUUGAACUUUUUUUAUUUUUUUCAAAAUUUUUUUUUGAAAAUCGAAAAUUAUGUAUGAAACUAUUUUUAAUUUUUUUUAAAAAAUGUUAAGUAUUUAUUUAUAUAUUUAUUAGAAUCCUUAAUUGCAUAUUCCAAACAUCCUACCUCAACUCUAAACCCUAAGUCUAGAUUAGUUAACCUUAUGGAUAUAAGUGUCUUUUACUCUUCUUUAAAAAUGAGGGUAAAAGUGAUUAGUGUAGACAUGAAAAAUGGUAUUAUGAAUGUGGUAUUUGUGGUAAUUUCUUCAUUUUAUAUUCAAUUGACAAAAAGUACUUUGUGUUCAAAAUGUACCAUUGAAUAAAUAUUUAUGGAUUAUUUUUAUAAAACGUGUUAAAAUAUUUGGUUUAGAUGUGUGUUAAACAAAAGUUAUGGAUGAUUUUAUAAUUCUUGACGUAAUUUGCUGACCUAUCAGUUUUUCCUUCACCUAUUAGAAAUAAUUAUACUAACUGUUCAAAGUUUCAAACGAAUAUUCAGUUUCAAACAUAUUACACCACUUUCAAAAAUAAGUUUCGAACCCACGUUGUACUAACUUAUUGAUGAAAGAUGCUGACAUCACAAGUUUACAACAAUAACAGAGAAGAAAAAACAACUUGCAAUAAAAAUCUUAAACAAACACAAAUUGUAACUCAAGCUGAAAUAAAUACAAAAAGGAACCAAGAUACACUUAGUAAUUUCACGUGGAGAACACGUACGUGUUUCAGGUGCUACUUUCAGUUCCUGCAAUUUUGCAGAAACAACAAUUGCAUUGUGCACGAUCAUCUUCUUUUUGGAUAAAGAAUUCCCAUACUUUUGCUCUAUGAGCAAUUGAUUACCUUGGUUUUUGUGGAAGAGCAGAGCUUGGUCUUUCAGUUUCUUUUCUUCUCUUUCCAGCAAGAGAAGGUUCCGGAGCUUCUUCUCCUUGAAUCUCAUUGUCAAGCAUCGUUCUGAUCAUAAGAAGAAGUUAAAUCCAUCUGCAAAAAAGAAAAACAUUCACAAUCAGUUAUUUAUAAACACUUAAAACA